GACGAACGCUGGCGGCGUGCCUAAUACAUGCAAGUCGAACGCAGUGGGGACGGGUGAGUAACACGUGGGUAACCUCCCAUCAGAGGGGAUAACACUUGGAAACAGGUGCUAACACGAUACUUGUGGCUGGACCCGCGGUGCAUUAGCUAGUUGGUGGGGUAACGGCUCACCAAGGCCACGAUGCAUAGCCGACCUUGGAGGGUGAUCGGCCACACUGGGAUUGAGACACGGCCCAGACUCCUACGGGAGGCAGCAGUAGGGAAUCUUCGGCAAUGGACGAAAGUCUGACCGAGCAAUGCCGCGUGAGUGAAGAAGGUUUUCGGAUCGUAAAACUCUGUUGUUAGAGAAGCGUUAUCUAACCAGAAAGCCACGGCUAACUACGUGCCAGCAGCCGCGGUAAUAC
rnacentral:rRNA from 1 species